rnacentral:rRNA from 1 species
AUGGUCUUGGUGACUCUGAAGAAGGUCACCUUCGGUGGGACCGGCAGCAGCCUCACCUUCCACGACAGCACGAUGCCGAAAUUACCGCCGCCGCCGCCGCGGAUAGCCCAGAAAAGGUCAUCCCCCAUGGCCUUCUUGCUCGCCAGGAGGUUCCCUUCGGCAUCGACCAUGGUGGCGUCCACCACGUUGUCGGCUGAGAGACCGUGUUUGCGCAUCAUCAGGCCUAUGCCGCCGCCGCUGAAGAUGCCACCCACGCCGACGGUCGGGCACACGCUAGCCGGGAAGCCCAGCCCAGGCGCCGCCAUGGCGACGUGGUAG